rnacentral:lncRNA from 1 species
AUUGACCCGCUGAUCAACGGUUGAUGAUAUUAUCUAUAAAUAGGAUCCUUAGCUCGUGUUUGGGAGCGGGAUCGUCAUUCUGUUCUCUGAUUUUUCUCUCUGCCUUCUGGAACCUUCGUGUUCUUCGUCUUUGUGACUCUUCCUUCUUUUCUAUGUGAGAGUUCUGGUUGAUUAUCUUUGUGAUAAUUGUGUUCUUGUGUGAUUCUCCUUUGUGUGAGUAAUCUGUUGAAGGUAGGCAGUCCUUUUUUGGUUUCCAGUGAAGCAACCUUGAUGUGUUGGGGUUAUAAGGGCUUGUGUUUGAGUCUCGGUGCCUCUGUAAUGGUGUAAGGGGCGUGGUCUGAGCCUACAAUUGAAAGAUGUAAACCUUGAUGUAGUGGUUUAGGAUUUAUAUUGUAAUCUGCAGUUUCCAUAUUUAGAUUGAAUAUUUUCAGAUCUUGUUUUAAUAGUGGUAUCAGAGCAUUCUGCGUUCGUUCUUGAGUCUUCGAUUGAAGGUUGAACACUGGAAAAUUAAUUUACAGGUGUUCGACUGUAGAUCGCGAAACCCUAGUUCUUGAUUUGAGUCGACCUAGUGGUCUGUGGAGUUGAUUCGAACCUGGACUGUGGAAUGCGAGGGAUUUUCUGUGAGUCCUCGCUGUGAUCUGUAAAAGAACCAUAAAACCGAGAUCUUGUGGGUUCGUCUUGUGCUGGAACCCUAAUUUUUUGGAGCUGCAAGGCCUCGAAACUGGAAGAACUUGAAUCAGUAAGGGCACGAUUUGUGUUUUGGUGACCUGCAGUGAAUUCAUCCUUGCUGCAAUAAUUUGUUCCUGAUUUCAGCUAGUGGUUAAUUGCUUAACCACCCUCGGUUUGCACUUCUUGAACCCUACAUGACUGCACACUCACUAAACACUGCUUUUAUGUGUAUAUGCCUCUAUGUUGAUAUUUUCAAUUACUGUAUAUUGUAACCUGUUACAUUAGUUUGUGAUAUCUUGUUAUAUUUGCUUGUGAUCAAUUAAGUUUGGGUUAUUCAAAUUGAGCCUUGACCUAAGAACUUGAUUCUCACGGAAUCCUGGUGAAUUUGAUCAACCCUAGGUCCUGCAGAUAUUGAUUCUUUAAUCCUGAGAUAUAGUUCUUGCCUGCAUUGUUGUAUUUUUCUGGUUCUUGUGGUGUUUACAUUAGAAUAUCUAAUGAUCCUGCUAUUGAUUGAAACUAUUUGUGAAUAAAAUAAUUGUAGCUCAUUUAUUUGACUGCAUAUUACUUUAUGUGAUCUAAAACAUAAAUUUUUUGCGAAGGUCAAAUUCAACAGUUUUUUUCAAAAGUUGAUCAUCUGUUCUGUUAUAAUUUGUGAAAAAUACUGUGUGUUAGUUUUUCACAAUAAAACAUGACAAAAUCUUUUGAACUUGGUGUUUUUGAUGGAAAAGGGGAUUUUCCCAUUUGACAACAAAAAAUGCGAGGUGUUUUAGUUCAGCAAAAAGUUUCUAAAGCAAUAACAGAUGAAUUUCCUGAUACCAUGACAGAUGAUCAAAAGGAAGAAUCUGAUGAACUUGCUUAUACCUCCAUUAUUUUGCAUUUAUCUGAUCAAGUUUUAAGAAAGGUAGGCAAACAUGAUACUGCUAAGGCCUUAUGGGAUGAAUUAGAGAAGCUUUACCUACCUAAGUCUUUGCCUAAUAAGUUGUUUCUAUUAGAGAAAUUUUUUAGUUUUAGGAUAGAUCCAACUAGAGACUUAGAAGACAGCUUAGACAUUUUUAAUAAGUUAGUUCAAGACAUUAUUAAUACAGGUGAGAAAGUUUCUAAUGAGUAUAAGGCUGUAGUACUACUAAAUGUUAUACCUAAAACCUACAAAGAGGUUAAAGCCGCCAUUAAGUAUGGUAGAGAUACUCUUACGCUUGAUAUUGUCAUAGACUCUUUAAGGAGUAAGGAACUUGAACUUAAGUCUGAGAGAGGUAAUAGUGGCCAUGAAAACUUGUUUGCUAGAGGGAGGACUUUAAGUAGGUCUAGUGGUACUCAGGAAAGCCAUAAUAAUCAGGAAAAUAACAGUAGGAGAAAGUUUAAAAGUAGAGGCAGGUCUAAGUCAAGGACUAGGACUAAAAAGUGUUAUGGGUGUGGGAAAUCUGGACAUUUUAUUAAAAACUGUUAUAAGAAGAAAAAUGAACAGAAACAAAAGGGUGUUGAUGAAGGUAAUGUGGUAGAAUCUGAAGGUUCUGCCACAAUUGAUGUAUAUGCUGUGACUGAAAAUUUACCUAGCUCUGCAAAUGUUGUUGAUGAGAAUCAGAACCAAGAAUGGAUCUUGGAUUCUGGUUGUACCUUCCAUAUGACCUUUAAAAAGGCAUAUUUAGACAAUUUUAAGAAAAUUAAUGGAGGAGAAGUAGUUAUGGGCAAUAAUGUAGCCUACAGAGUUGAGGGAGUUGGGAAUGUCACUUUGCAAUAAUGGAUACAUUUACACUCUUGAAAGGGUGAGAUAUGUUCCUGAAUUGAAUAGGAAUCUGAUUUCCAUGGGAAAUCUAGAUGAUAUGGGAUUGCAAGGAAAAAUAGAAGAUGGCUUCUUGAAAGUGAUAAAAGGAUCACUUGUUAUUUUUAAAGGUGUUAAAAGAAAUGGGAUUUAUGUGAUCAAAGCUAGUAAAGUGUUUGAUCACAUAGGUGAGUCUUCCAGUGUAAAAUUUGAUGCUACCUUAAAGUGGUACAAGGGAUUGACCCAUGUAGGUGAAAAGGGCCUACACAUCCUUUAUAAGAAAGGUCUGUUUGGGAAGGACUCUAUAUCUAAGGUGUCUUUUUGUGAAAACUGCACCUUAGGAAAACAACAUAGGCUGCAUUUUAACACAGGAAAACAUAGAACCACCUCUAUCCUUGAGUAUAUACAUGCUGAUUUAUGGGGGCCUUCAUCCACUAUCACUCAAGGAGGAAAUAGAUAUUUCUUGUCCUUGAUUGAUGACUAUUCUAGGAAGGUUUGGGUUUAUUUGUUGAAACACAAAUCUGAAACCUUUGAUAAAUUCAGAACUUGGAAGAUUCUGGUGGAAAAUGAGAUUGGGAAGAAAAUUAAGAUCCUUAGGACGGAUAAUGGCCUUGAGUUUUGCAAUACUGAAUUUGAUCAGUUGUGCAAAGAAUCUGGUAUUAAAAGGCAUAAAACUGUACCUUAUACACCUCAACAGAAUGGAGUGGCCGAGAGGAUGAAUAGAACCUUGCUAGAUAAGGUUAGGUGCAUGUUGAUAGGCUCAGGUGUCCCUAAUGUGUUAUGGGGUGAAGCUGUAAUGACAGCUUCAUAUAUUGUUAAUAGGACCCCCUCAAGUGCUCUAGGAGAUAAAACCCCUGAAGAGCUAUGGACAGGACAUGUUCCUGAUUAUUCACAUUUAAGAAUCUUUGGUUGUGCCGCUUAUUCCCAUCAAAGUAUAGGAAAACUUGAACCCAGAGCCCAGAAAUGUGUUUUCUUGGGAUUUCCCGAUGGGGUUAAAGGUUAUAGGCUAUGGAGUAAAGAAGUAAAAGGUUUUAGAAUCAUCACCAACAGAGAUGUUACCUUUGAUGAGUCAAAAAUGCCUUGCUUAGAAAAUAAAGAACCAAAAGGGCUACCUGGUGGAGCUUGGCUUACCUAUUGAACCUGUUAGUGAUGAAUAGGUAGAUGAAGAAGCUAAAACAGCUUCUGAUCCUCAAGAAAAUGAAGAGGAAAAUGUUCAAGAAAAUCUGGAAAGUCAGCCUGAUGAAUUGGGAGAUUACCAAUUAACUAGAGAUAGGACUAGGAGAGAAGUAAGAGAGCCUGUUAGGUAUGGAGAUUACCUUUCACUUGCUGUUUUGUCCUAUCAUGACUUAGUGUUUAAAGAACCAAAAUCUUAAGAAGAGGCAAUGAGCUGCAAGCAGUCUGAGAAUUGGCAUGCUGCUAUGAUAGAUGAGAUGGACUCCUUAAUGAAAAAUGAGACUUGGACUUUAGUUCCAAAACCUGCAGCUAAGACCCUUGUUGAUUGCAAGUGGAUCUUUAGUGUUAAGGAGGGAAAUACUGAAAAGAUGCCCAUAAGAUUUAAGGCUAGACUUGUAGCAAAAGGAUUUACGCAAAAAGAGGGCAUAGAUUAUAAUGAGAUAUUUUCACAUGUGAUAAAGUACACAACAAUUAGAGUUAUGCUUACCCUUGUUGCUCAUUAUGAUCUUAAACUUGAACAAAUGGAUGUGAAAACUGCUUUCUUGUAUGGUGACCUUGAUGAAGUGAUUUAUAUGAGACAACCACCUGGUUUUAUUGAUGAAACUAAAUCUAAUCAUGUGUGUCUGUUAAAAAGAUCAUUAUAUGGUUUAAAGCAAUCUCCAUGACAAUGGUACAAAAGGUUUGAUAAUUUUGUAUCUACUAUUGGUUUCAUAAGAAGUGAAUAUGACCAUUGACUUUACUUUAAAAGAAAUGAUGAAAAUGCUAUUGCUGCAUUUAUACUUCUUUAUGUGGAUGAUAUGUUGCUGAUUGGUCAGAAUAUGCAUGUUAUUAAUCAGACAAAACGGUCUUUAAGUGCUGAAUUUGAAAUGAAAGACCUAGGACAUGCAAAAAGAAUAUUAGGUAUGGAAAUCACUAGGAAAAGGCACCACAGGUUACUGUACUUGAAGCAAACUGCAUAUAUUGAAAAAAUGUUGACUAAGUUUGCCAUGCAUAACUCUAAAUCUGUUUCACUUCCAUUGGCCAGCCAUUUUAAACUUAGUAAAGAGCAAUGUCCUGUAGAUGAAGACAUUAGGCAAAUGGAAAAUGUACCCUAUGCUAAUGCCGUAGGUUCUGUCAUGUACACUAUGGUAUGUACUAGGCCUGAUGUAGCUCAUUCCAUUAUCACACUUAGUAGAUUUAUGGCCAAUCCAGGACCAGACCAUUGGGUUGCUCUAAAAUAGCUGUUGAGAUACUUGAAAGGAUCUUCACAUGUUGGUUUAAUCUUUAGUGCUUGUAACGAAGGUGUUGUACUUAAGGGUUUUGUAGAUUCAGAUUUUGCCGGAGAUAGAGACAAUAGGAAAUCUACUACUUCUUAUAUGUGUACUUUGUGUAAUACAUGUAUUAGUUGGAAAUCUCAACUUCAACCUAAUGUUGCUUUAUCUACUACUGAAGCUGAGUAUGUUGCUGCAAUUGAAGCAAUAAAAGAAGCAUUACGGCUUAAGGGCUUAUUAUCUGAAAUAAAUGAAUUGUGUAACCCUGUUGUCUUGUAUUCAGAUAGUCAAAGUGCAAUUCACCUAUGUAAAAACCCUGUUUUUCAUGAAAGAACAAAACAUAUUGAUGUUAAGUUGCAUUUUAUUAAAGAUGUUGUUUCUAAAGAACUUAUUUUACUUGAGAAAAUUGCAACUCAGUUUAAUCCAGCUGAUGUAGGUACUAAGGUAAUACCUUUAAACAAGUUUAAGUCUUGUUUACAAAUUUUGAACAUUGAUGCUAGUUAAGUGUUUUGUUCUGUACUGGUUCUAAGAUUGAUGCUUGUUGAGAAUGCUGGGAAGCUGUCUUCUUGAGAAGGACAUUUAAAUUGUGUUUUACAUUUAUUAGGCUUCUUGUAUGAUCACUGGCAUCAAGGUGGAGAUCUGUUGGGCUGUAAUGCCAUUUGAUCCAGUCCAACUAUUAGGCAAUGAUGAAAAGGCCCAAAUAUGGAUUCAAUACUUGGUCCAUUAGUUAGAUACCUAGAAGGCCCACUUAACCGAGCCCAAUACCCAGCCCACACAUCUUAGUCGCUCUUGGACCGUUGGAUUGACCCGCUGAUCAACGGUUGAUGAUAUUAUCUAUAAAUAGGAUCCUUAGCUCGUGUUUGGGAGCGGGAUCGUCAUUCUGUUCUCUGAUUUUUCUCUCUGCCUUCUGGAACCUUCGUGUUCUUCGUCUUUGUGACUCUUCCUUCUUCUCUGUGUGAGAGUUCUGGUUGAUUAUCUUUGUGAUAAUUGUGUUCUUGUGUGAUUCUCCUUUGUGUGAGUAAUCUGUUGAAGGUAGGUAGUCCUUUUUUUGGUUUCCAGUGAAGCGACCUUGAUGUGUUGGGGUUAUGAGGGCUUGUGUUUGAGUCUCGGUGCCUCUGUGAUGGUGAAAGGGGCGUGGUCUGAGCCUACAAUUGAAAGAUCUAAACCUUGAUGUAGUGGUUUAGGAUUUAUAUUGUAAUCUGCAGUUUCCAUAUUUAGGUUGAAUAUUUUCAGAUCUUGUUUUAAUAAAUACUUGCUGAUAUUUCUUAAGAAUCCAAGAUAUGACUAUGUUAUUGUUUCGAGUCCAGGAGUUAAUGAGAUUAUCAUUAUCUGCAGGCUUUGGAAUAGAUUCAUCGAUGAAUCCUAGUUUGUUCUUCACAGACAAAGCAAUCACCAUGCUUAUGCUCCAGGAGGCCUAAUUGUCACCAGUUAAGGCUGAGAAACCAAAAUGAGACCUGGACUAUCCAAAUGAUGAAGAUAAUAACGAGUUGAUCCAUCAUCAAUGCUUGAGUUGUUCACUAGAGAUGAUGAAUUAUCUAAUAUCACCGAAGCAUUAGUCGCCAUGGAGAUGCUGAAUCAAUAAUUGAAGUGGAACAGGAAUCAAUUUAACAAUUGAUUUUGAACAACCAAAAUCCAAUUCAAUCUCUGGAAAAUGAGAAGAUGAAUCUGGAAUUCCACAAUUGCUCUGAUACCAUAUUGAUUCCAGAGAGGGAAAAAAAAAGCGAGAAAAAAAUUGCAUAUUGAAUGAAGAAUGAAAAUUGUUCUUUACAACAUGCAUACUGCUUGUAAACCUUGAUGUAGUGGUUU